GAAGUCGUAACAAGGUAACCGUAGGGGAACCUGCGG
rnacentral:rRNA from 1 species